UUUCCUCUUCAUUUCAUUUCCUCAAAUCUUCUCCUCUUCCCCGACGCUGGGCCGAAGCCACACUCCCAUUCACGCUGAUGCCAUUCGACGCACCGCCGGCUGAGCCUCCCUCCUUCCUCUCCCUUUCGCGACGUGGAGCCUCUCACCCUUCUCGCGAUUGAGCUAUGACCGGCCACCGAAUUUGAGCCUUUCUGCCCCUCUCUUGCAAUUUCCCCCGAUUUCACUGCAAAUCACUGACGCGAGCCUCCUGAUCUCGUCGAUGUUGUUCAAAUCAUUGCCGAUGUCAACCACCUUUAUUUUGAUCUCCUCAGCCGAUCUCUCCUCCUCGGAUGAAAGCCCCGACCAGGGGUCGAUCGAUGCGUCGGCUGCCACAGGUCUCACUGAGCCAAGCCCUAGUCGUCGAUCCACCGUCGUCCUCUGCAUGCCGUGGCUCCGACCAGCGGAUCUCUUCCUCCUUAGCUGAUCGUUGUAGGAGACCAGACCUUCUCCUUCGAUGGGCGAUCGGUUCCGAUUCUUGGUUGCCGGUGGCUAGCUGUAGCCAUUAGAUCCUCUACUCCGGCUAACCCUUUACCUCUAGGGUUAGUGUCGGAUCUCUCCUUCUUCUCUGUAGUGAAGCUUUGGCUAGAAUCCCUUUUCUGUCUAGAAUUCUAGCAAACAUUAGCAAUAUGAACAUAACAUAGGGAUCAAUGAAGGGAUAGUGGAAGUGGGAGAUCAGCAACCUCACCUUGCAUCAACUACCAAUUCUUGGUAGCCAACGUCAUCGGCUUUGGUUCAUCAGUGGUGCAUCCAGAUAAGGGGACGGUGAUUCGAGGCGAGCGUCUCGACGUGGGAUUAGUUUAUCACGAUCGAAAGAUAAAGAUGAGUAUUUUUCCUUGGCUUCUAUGUAGUUCUUUGAACUUAGUGCAUGGUUAUUAUGUAAUGGAUUAUGUUGCUUUACCUUAAAUCAUGUUCGUUUGCUGUUUUUCCUGCUUGAUACUUAUGCUUGAUCUUUGAGGUGAUCUAAUUAUAUCAUAUACAGUCUACCUGAACUUUGUUGUAUAUGCAUGUAGAGUGUAUCAUAGGGAUGUCUAGUUGAUUUGGGUUAACAUGCUGAUUUUGUAUAUCUUUGUUGAUUGUGCACAUAAUUAGUAUGUGUUGUAGGAGUCACAUGAUUGACUGUCCAUUUGCAUGUAGUGUGUGUACACCUUUCUAGUGUGGUUAUGGUGGGUUUCUUGUGGAAUAUACCUUGUGGUUAUGAGCAUAUGUGUUUUGUAUGGAUAUCGAAGGAUUCUGGUUGAUUAUAUCUAUGUGGUUAUGUGUAUAUGUCUGGUUGUGUACGUUGUAGAGUGUGUACGUGUAUGGUUGUUACGAGCCUGGUGUGCUACUUGAUGUACUUUGUUGUUUAGUAAACAUCAGAUGAAUUUACCUAUACCUAUAGGUGUUAGAUGAAUUUUUAUACUGGAGGUGUUUAUGUGGAUUGGGGAUGUUGCAUCGAUGGUGACUGUGUCAGUAUCAUGAUUAUUUAUCAUGUUCAUCAUUCAUUGCAUGCUGAUGACCAUUGUCUUCCUUGUGGUGUGAGAUAGUCGUUAGUCAUUUAUAGCUGUCCAUUCGGCCACUAUGGGAGAGUGGUAGAUAGGAAUGGAGCUAGUUCUGUUCUGCUCACUAGGCCGUUCAGUGUUCUAUCCGCCUCGACCACUCUGGAGUAGUGGGUCUGGAGGGUUUAGUAGUUAGGGGGCUAGUGAUGUGAGUAGUCAGGGAUCCUGAUGUUAUGUAAUUAGAUAACUACUUAGCAAAUCGUUCGCCUCGGCCGCUCUAUAGCGGUGCAUGUACUGGAGACUAGUACGGUUUGUCAGGGACCCAAUCCUCUCGGCCAUACAAGGGUCGUGGUGUCUGGAGAGGUGGUGGGGGUGACCAUGUGGUAUACAUACGCAUUUGCAUAUGAUGUGCGGUGCAUCUGUGGAGUUAUAUCUACAUACAUGUCUAUCAGAUACUAGUUGCAUGUGAUUGUGAUAUGUUGCACUUGUUUGAGAUAUAAUUGUUGCAUAUGGUUGUCAUGCUUCAUACAUGUCAUUUAUUAUACAUGCAUAUGCUGUCGUAUAUAUUGCACAGGUGUUACGAGCAAAUUUGUUACUGAACCGGUGAGUUUACUGAUUAUUGUACCAUGUGUCGAUUCCAGAUUGGGUAUGUAUUUAUCAUUAUGUCAGUUAUGGUUUAAGUAGUUGGUAUGUCAGUUAUGAUUAUGUAUGGUUAUUAUAUCGAUUAUGUUAGAUGGAUUGAUUAUGUCAGUAUGAUCAUGUUCUUUAAUGCCCUACUGAGAUUAUAUACUUUGAUCUCCAUGUUUAUUUUAUAUAGACAAUGCACUAUAUUAUCUAUUACCCGCUGAGUGACCCGCACUCACCACCCCGUUUGUAUUUUUAUGCUUUCAGGUAGCAGAUAGAUGAUUGUGGAAUCACUUGGAGUAUCUUGUCUGCCAGUCCUACAUUACAUCAGAAGACUACACACACACACACACACACACACACACACACACACACACACACACACACACACACACACAUAU